rnacentral:rRNA from 1 species
UACAGAGGGGGCAAGCGUUAUUCGGAAUUAUUGGGCGUAAAGGGCGCGUAGGCGGCUUGGCAAGUGGAUGGUGAAAUCCCUCGGCUUAACCGAGGAACUGCCGUCCAAACUGCUUCGCUUGAGACCGGGAGAGGUGAGUGGAAUUCCCAGUGUAGCGGUGAAAUGCGUAGAUAUCUGGAGGAACACCGGUGGCGAAGGCGGCAUCCUGGACCGACAUUGACGCUGAGGCGCGAAAGCCAGGGGAGCAAACGGG